rnacentral:lncRNA from 1 species
AAGAGUGAUGAUUCUUCUUUUUCUUUUUAUAAUUUCUUCUUCUAAUUUAUGUCACGUGUGUCUAUUUCUCCCUCUAUUCGUUCUCAUAAAAUAAUAUGAGAUCCUUCAUCUCAAGGAUUGCCAAAUAAUGAAGCAGUCCCCUGCGUACAAGAGUAGGUAUUCAUAAGAAUUUGUUUUCAAUACAUUGAAGUUCAUUCGGAGGGACAUAUCAACUUUUAAAUUGACCAUGCAUAAGAUAGUGGACCCUGCAGUGCUCAUUAAGGAGCUUGGAGUUAACAAAAUUUAGACACAUGUGCCUGAAUGUUUUUUCUAUGCAACUUUAGCGCUAAAGCGAAUUUCAAGGCCUUGUCCAUCAUUGAGAAUAUCUGUUAGAGCCUGACCAUCCCCAAGUUUCGAGCAAACUUGGGGAUAUACGGGAAAAAAAUCCAGCAUUUGAGAAAAUGAGUCUUAUUGGCUCAGUGCUCUCUAUCGAGAAUCUGCCAAGCAUGAAAGAGGAUUCCAACAACAUGGCAA